UUUUAUAAUUUUUUUUAAUUAAUUACAUUUUUUAAUAUUUUCAACAUUCUUUAUAUUUUUUUCAUAAUUACAAAUUAAUUUUUUUAUAUUUUUACGAUUCAUAAACACAGAAUCAAAUUAAUUAUUUUUACAAAAUAUAAUACAAAAUAAAAAAAAAGAAAACAAACAACACAAAAUAAGGGCAGCCACAAAUAUAUUGACACCUUUUUCUUUAAAAAUAACAAAAUACACACAAAUACUAACAAUACACACUCAGCACACGUAUAUACACCACACACGCACAAUACGCUUCUCUCUCUUUCUAUUUUCUCUCUCCCUCUUAACUCCUUCACCUGCCGCCGGCGCCGGAGCAGACCACCGGCCGGCCGGCUUCCUUCCCCUUUUUUCUCGUCGCCCAACAAACCAACCAACUCCGGAGACCACCCGAAAUAGCCACCACCACCUCCAAACCAGCGGCAAACCAAAACCCAAAAACUCACCAACUGCUCCCUUUUCCCCUCUUUCCCGCCGCCGGAACUCCGGCAGAUUCUGGCCACCAUUCAUCCACCUCACCCUUCCCCUUUCUCUCUUCUCCUCUUCACCAACACCAUAGCCGGCGCAGCAACAGCCAUAGCUGCCGCCGCCACACCUUUCCUUUUCCCAUGGCCUUCAUAUUCUUCCUUUCCCUUGCUCCUCACUGUCGCUUGAUCGCCGGAGUUGUGACCGGCGAGCUCUAGCCCGAAACAGCCGCCGCCGCUGUCUUUUUCCCCUUUUUUGCGCCACUGCUUCGCCGAGGUGAUGACCGGUGAACCUUCCCCCGCUUCUGUCCCACGGUAAUGGCCAAAUUUCGGUCGGAUUUAUAUCCUUUUGGCGUUGCUCCGGUGAGAUCCGUUGAAGCAACGCCACUUUCAUCGUUACCUUGUCUUUUUAUGUUGCUAUGUUACCCGUUCGGAUCUGUAUGGAGGUGAAUUUUUUGGCAAAUUUUCGUAAAAAUCGGCCAGCUUUUUGCUUUUCGUAUAGUUUUUCAUAUAUAUAUAUAUAUGUGUGUAAUUUGCUGCUCUUGUAUUUUAUUUGGAUUUGUUGGACUGAUUUGGCUGUUGGAUGUCGUGUUGUUGCUCCAUUUUGCUACUGUUGAAUUUCUUUUAGAUUAUUAUCUUUAAUUUCAUGGUUAUAUUUGUUAGCCAUUAAUAAUUGUGUUCGAAUUUUUCAGGCGAGCAUCAUUUUUUUUUUUUUUUUUUUUUUUUUUGCAUGUUUUGAACACUGUUUUUAACUUGUGACUGCUGCUAAUAAUCUUUGUUGCUGCUGUUGAAUUUCAUUACUGUUUUGACUAAUUUUCUAUAGUAUUUUAUUCAUAUCAUAUUGUUUUUUUACUUUACACACAAGCAUUUUAUUUCAUUGACUUAAUUUAUUGUCCGCUAAUUUUGACUGAUUUAUCACUACUUUAAAACAAUAACUUAUAUGCUUGCCCAAUGAAAUUAUCUCUCCGUCAGGAUAUUUGAGGUCACCCCACUGUAAAAGACGGACUUUAUUUUAUCAAAAUUAUUAUUUUAUAUUAAUGGUCGACACUUGGCUGGUGAAGGAAUUCUCCAUCAAUUUUCAAGGCCUGCACAAAUAAAAGACGAAUAUUACGUAUACAAAUAUGUAAUAAAAUAAAUAAAUUUGGACAAUGAUAAAAAUUUUAUAACAACGCAAAAGAUUUUACGAUUCGUAUCUUCUCAAGAUGAUUUAGGACGGUUAAUCAAUUGAGCAAUCACUUUAUAGUCAUGAUGUAUUUAAAAUUAAAUCUGAGUUCACUUUUUUAAUGAAAAUUAUAUUUUUUACACUUAUAUGCACACAUAUCUUUUUAAUUUAUUUUGAUAAUUAUUUAUUUGUUACUAAGAUUUUAUUUACAAGUGUUUAUGCUGGUUAUUGAAAAUACUCAUUGGAGAAUGCAUUUAAAGAAGGUUUUAAUUUUUAUAUUUGUAUUUUUUACACUUUCACACUUGUACAAAUAUUAAUUAUAGUGAAAUAUUUAUUUUUAGGGUGUUGGGCGGGAUAUUCUUUAUUUAGGCGAUUCUCAUCAUGCGUUAGGCAAAUUUAAGCCGUUAAUAUUUAUAUUAAAUUGACUUAAAUAGUUAAUCAAAUAAUUCAUUCUUUUUACACUAAAGAAUAUUACGUAAUCUUUUUCUUUAAAACAAGUUUUUCUUUAUUCAAUCUUUUCUUUUCAUACAUGUUUUAAUAUACUUUCGUUUAUCUUAAUACACUUUUUAUAUGCAUAAUUUUAUGAUAAAAUAUGUAAUUUACAUUCUUUAUAUAUAAAUUAUUUAUAACAUUUUAAUACAUGUUUUAUAUUUGUAUGUAUAAAUAUUGAUUUUUUCUUCAUCGUUUAAUAAAUUUGAGUCUGACCAGGAACCACAUUUGUGGAUUUUGAAGGGUGCCUAACCUCUUCCCUUUGAAAUAGCUUGAACCCUUACCUAAGAUCUAAUUUGGUUCGUAUAUUAAAACACAAGUCAUAUAUGUUAAUUAAUAAAUAGGUUUCCUAUUUUUCCUUGAAAAUUAGGUGGCGACUCUAUACAAAUUCAUUCUUUUUUAGAGUUCACAAUGUCGUGCUCGUUUUGGCCUUAAGUAAAAAUCGG
rnacentral:lncRNA from 1 species